CCGAGUUUACAACUCCCAAACCCAAUGUGAACGUUACCAAACUGUUGCCUCGGCGGGGUCACGCCCCGGGUGCGUCGCAGCCCCGGAACCAGGCGCCCGCCGGAGGAACCAACCAAACUCUUUCUGUAGUCCCCUCGCGGACGUAUUUCUUACAGCUCUGAGCAAAAAUUCAAAAUGAAUCAAAACUUUCAACAACGGAUCUCUUGGUUCUGGCAUCGAUGAAGAACGCAGCGAAAUGCGAUAAGUAAUGUGAAUUGCAGAAUUCAGUGAAUCAUCGAAUCUUUGAACGCACAUUGCGCCCGCCAGUAUUCUGGCGGGCAUGCCUGUCCGAGCGUCAUUUCAACCCUCGAACCCCUCCGGGGGAUCGGCGUUGGGGAUCGGGACCCCUCACACGGGUGCCGGCCCCUAAAUACAGUGGCGGUCUCGCCGCAGCCUCUCCUGCGCAGUAGUUUGCACAACUCGCACCGGGAGCGCGGCGCGUCCACGUCCGUAAAACACCCAACUUUCUGAAAUGUUGACCUCGGAUCAGGUAGGAAUACCCGCUGAACUUAAGCAUAUCAAAGCCCGGAGGAAA
rnacentral:rRNA from 1 species